rnacentral:rRNA from 1 species
UACGGAGGAUCCAAGCGUUAUCCGGAUUUAUUGGGUUUAAAGGGUGCGUAGGCGGAUUGAUAAGUUAGGGGUGAAAUGUCCGAGCUCAACUCGGGAACUGCCUCUAAUACUGUUGAUCUAGAGAGUAGAUGCGGUAGGCGGAAUGUAUGGUGUAGCGGUGAAAUGCUUAGAGAUCAUACAGAACACCGAUUGCGAAGGCAGCUUACCAAUCUAUAUCUGACGUUGAGGCACGAAAGCGUGGGGAGCAAACAGG